CUAAAAAUGGUUUAAAAAAAAUAUAGGCUUUGGGGGCUUGCGUUCACUUAAGAAGAGGGUGUUUUUUGA
rnacentral:tRNA from 1 species